CACACGACUCUCGGCAACGGAUAUCUCGGCUCUCGCAUCGAUGAAGAACGUAGCGAAAUGCGAUACCUGGUGUGAAUUGCAGAAUCCCGUGAACCAUCGAGUCUUUGAACGCAAGUUGCGCCCGAGGCCAUCCGGCCGAGGGCACGCCUGCCUGGGCGUCAUGC
rnacentral:rRNA from 1 species